rnacentral:tRNA from 1 species
ACGUUCACUAGAGAGAGACAAUACCAAUAGCUCAAUUUGUAGUGAAGCUUUGGAACUUUCCUAUAAGGAUAUAAUAUAUGAGACUUCAUACCUUCGUUAUUCCUCAGUAGCUCAGUGGUAGAGCGGUCGGCUGUUAACCGAUUGGUCGUAGGUUCGAAUCCUAUUUGAGGAG